UACGUAGGGUGCGAGCGUUGUCCGGAAUUAUUGGGCGUAAAGAGCUCGUAGGCGGUCUGUCGCGUCGGAUGUGAAAACUCGGGGCUCAACCCCGAGCCUGCAUUCGAUACGGGCAGACUAGAGUUCGGUAGGGGAGACUGGAAUUCCUGGUGUAGCGGUGAAAUGCGCAGAUAUCAGGAGGAACACCGAUGGCGAAGGCAGGUCUCUGGGCCGCGACUGACGCUGAGAAGCGAAAGCAUGGGGAGCGAACAGG
rnacentral:rRNA from 1 species